UGUGGGAGCGGGCUUGCUUGCGAAGGCGCCGUGUCAGUCAACUGAAAUAUUGACUGAUGCACCGCCUUCGCGAGCAAGCCCGCUCCCACA
rnacentral:misc_RNA from 1 species